GAACUCUAAGGAGACGCCGGGGACAAACCGGAGGAAGGUGGGGACGACGUCAAGUCAUCAGGGCCCUUACGACCUGGGCUACACACGUGCUACAAUGGUCGGUACAAAGGGCAGCGAAGCCGCGAGGUGAAGCCAAUCCCAGAAAACCGAUCGUAGUCCGGAUUGGANACUCGACUCCAUGAAGUCGGAUCGCUAGUAAUCGCGAAUCANAUGUCGCGGAAA
rnacentral:rRNA from 1 species